AUUGGAGGGCAAGUCUGGUGCCAGCAGCCGCGGUAAUUCCAGCUCCAAUAGCGUAUAUUAAAGUUGUUGCGGUUAAAAAGCUCGUAGUUUGAGUUCAGUUGCGGACUGGUGUGGGAGGUCACCGCCCGGUGCUUCCCCGUCAGGCUCCGAACAGCUUCCGUGAGUGGAAGCCAAGCCGGUUCUGCCAGGGUGCUCUUUACCGAGUGUCUUGCGCGGCCGGCCAGUUCACCUUGAAUAAAUGAGAGUGCUCAAAGCAGGCUACUCUGGAAUACAAUGCCCGAAUGUUAACUGCAUGGAAUGAUGGAAGAUGAUCUCGGUUCCAUUUUGUUGGUGGUGGGAGCCAGAGGUAAUGAUAAAGAGGGACUGUCGGGGGCAUCCGUACUACGACGCGAGAGGUGAAAUUCAGUGACCGUCGUAGGACGAACAACAGCGAAAGCAUUUGCCAAGAAUGUCUUCGUUGAUCAAGAACGAAAGUUAGAGGAUCGAAGGCGAUCAGAUACCGCCCUAGUUCUAACCCUAAACGAUGCUGACUAGCAAUUCGCCGUCGUUAUUCCCAUGACGUGGCGAGACGCCCCCGGGAAACCUCAAGUUUUUGAGUUCCGGGGGUAGUAUGGUUGCAAAAGUGAAACUUAAAGGAAUUGACGGAAGGGCACCACCAGGAGUGGAGCCUGCGGCUUAAUUUGACUCAACACGGGAAAGCUU
rnacentral:rRNA from 1 species